UUAAUUGAAACCAAAAUAGAGGUAAAUUAUUGUUAAUAAUUUUAUUGAAAUAAAUUUCCAAUUAAA
rnacentral:tRNA from 1 species